GAUUCUUUUCAAGAACCGAUUCUACCUAUCGCGGAUCCGAAGGAUGUUGUCAUCCCACAACAUAUAUCGGAUUUGAUACUAAUUCCUCCAUACUGUAGACGACCACCAGGAAGACCAACAACCAAAAGGAUUCCAUCUAGAGGUGAAAACCGGAAAAAGAGACAGAAAAGACUUAUUCCGAAUCAGUGCACACGAUGUAGACAAGCAGGUCAUAACAAGAAGACUUGCAAAAAUCCUAUUUAGUUCUCCUCAUAAGCUUUAUGUCUCCGCGAAGACAGUGUACGUUUAUGUGUGGACAGUGUGUACCAAAGUGUUGUGACGGUGUACGUACGUUUAAUGUUUGCCAUCGUAUAACUAUGUACGUUUUCUGAGUGUACGUUUUUGUUAGUGUACGUGUUUGUUGUGUCUGUGUACGUAUAAUCUUCAUGCAAUAAACGGUUACAAACGGUUACACACA